rnacentral:tRNA from 1 species
GCGCCCGUAGCUCAGUGGAUAGAGCAACGGUUUCCUAAACCGUGUGUCAGGGGUUCGACUCCCUUCGGGCGCACCA